CCCCUAGAUGUUCUGGGCCGCACGCGCGCUACACUGAACAGUUCAACAAGUCUUUACCUUGGCCGAUAGGUCUGGGUAAUCUUUGAACGCUGUUCGUGAUUGGGAUAGACCUUUGCAAUUAUGGGUCUUCAACGAGGAAUUCCUAGUAAACGCAAGUCAUCAGCUUGCAUUGAUUACGUCCCUGCCCUUUGUACACACCGCCCGUCGCACCUACCGAUUGAAUGGUCCGGUGAAAUCUCGGGACGGCGGCUCGGUCGCUUGCGUCCGACUGCUGAAACUUGAUUAAACCAUAUCAUUUAGAGGAAGGUGAAGUCGUAACA
rnacentral:rRNA from 1 species